GUAGCUACCUUUGGAUGCGUUCUAGCAAAAUCUACGAGUAAACCAAGAAAUAAGGAGGAUAUGGGAACCAGGAAAAUGUGAGUUUAACCCAGAACAUCAGUUCAAGCAAAAUUGCAAGGUUGCCAGCGGAAGAGAAAAUGAGAGGGGGCUCAAACAAGAAAAGCAUGAUGAUAAAACUGACAACGCAAGGAUGCUAACUGGCUGACGACCAUGCCAGCAGAGAAAAGAUAGAAGCUAAUUAAAGAAACUAUUAUGAUCACCAUUCUGCAUGGAUUCCAGGACAGAAGGAAAGGUAAUAAACCUCUGUCUUUCCACUUCCUGCCAGGUCUUCUUUCCCAUUACCUUAUUAUUUGACUCCUAGCUUCUGUCAGAGAAUAUAAGAAAA